rnacentral:rRNA from 1 species
CUUGACUGUAGCUUGGAAUUGGGUUCGGGCUCUUCUUGCGCAGCCUAGGUGGGAGGCGUUGAGAGCUUUCUUUUGGGGAAGCUGGAGCCAUCAGUGAGAGACCACUCUGGAGGAGCUAGAAUUCUAAUGGCGUUCCUUGAAGCAGGACGCUUGACAGUUUCAGGUGGGCAGUUUGACUGGGGCGGUCACCUCCUAAAAGGUAACGGAGGUGUGCAAAGGUUCCCUCAGGCUGGACGGAAAUCAGCCGUAGAGUGUAAAGGCAGAAGGGAGCUUGACUGCAAGACCUACAAGUCGAGCAGGGGCGAAAGCCGGCCUUAGUGAUCCGACGGUUCCAUGUGGAAGGGCCGUCGCUCAACGGAUAAAAGUUA